AGGACGAACGCUGGCGGCGUGCCUAACACAUGCAAGUCGAACGGAUUUAGGGGCAACUCUAAGUCAGUGGCGAACGGGUGCGUAACACGUGAGAAAUCUUACUUCCGGCGGGGGAUAGCCGGCCCAACGGCCGGGUAAUACCGCGUACGCUCGUUGAGGGGCAUCCCUUGGCGAGGAAGCAGCAAUGCACCGGAAGGGGAUCUCGCGGCCUAUCAGCUAGUUGGUGAGGUCACGGCUCACCAAGGCGACGACGGGUAGC
rnacentral:rRNA from 1 species